GUAGUUAGCCGGGGCUUUCUUACAGGGUACCGUCACUUCUUCGUCCCCUGCGACAGAGGUUUACAAUCCGAAAACCUUCUUACCCUCACGCGGCGUUGCUGGGUCAGGCUUGCGCCCAUUGCCCAAUAUUCCCCACUGCUGCCUCCCGUAGGAGUCUGGACCGUGUCUCAGUUCCAGUGUGGCCGAUCAGCCUCUCAGCUCGGCUACCCAUCGUCGGCUUGGUGGGCUGUUAUCUCACCAACUACCUAAUGGGACGCGAACCCCUCUAAAAGCGAUAAAUCUUUGACCUCUUCCCGAUGCCGGGUUGUGGUCUUAUGCGGUAUUAGCAGUUGUUUCCACCUGUUAUUCCCCACUCUUAGGCAGGUUGUUCACGCGUUACUCACCCGUGCGCCACUAGAAUUAUCAAUUCCAUCCGAAAACUUCCUUAAAUAAAUCCCCGUUCGACUUGCAUGUGUUAGGCACGCCGCCAGCGUNUCUNAGCCAUAAUACAAACUACUAGACUANAGAGGCGNGCGAGACGACG
rnacentral:rRNA from 1 species